CUUGUAGGCGGUCCGUUAAGUCUGGUGUGAAAUCUCCCGGCUCAACUGGGAGGGGUCAUCAGAUACUGGCGGACUAGAGGUGGGUAGAGGAAAGCAGAAUUCCUGGUGUAGCGGUGAAAUGCGUAGAUAUCAGGAGGAAUACCAGUGGCGAAGGCGGCUUUCUGGGCCUAUCCUGACGCUGAGGAGCGAAAGCGUGGGGAGCAAACCGGAUUAGAUACCCGGGUAGUCCACGCCCUAAACGGUGGAUGCUAGGUGUGGGAGGUGUCGACCCCCCCCGUGCCGCAGCUAACGCUUUAAGCAUCCCGCCUGGGGAGUACGGCCGCAAGGCUAAA
rnacentral:rRNA from 1 species